rnacentral:misc_RNA from 1 species
UCACACACACACACACACCCACACCCCCCUAUACAAAGCCUAAAGUAAUAGAAAAGCAAAUUGUUUUUAUAAUUACUAUUUUAUUUUUAUUUCUUUAAUUUUUUUUCUUAAUCUAAUUUACAUACACAUACAAAAGUGCAUUUGCACACACGCGCGCAUGCUCGUUUUGUAUGCACACACACGAGCAUGUGUUUUGUAUGUACACACACGCACACGUGUUUUGUAUGUACACACACACGCACACGUGUUUUGUAUGUACACACACACGCACACGUGUUUUGUAUGUAC